rnacentral:rRNA from 1 species
AGAACGAACGCUGGCGGCAUGCCUAAUACAUGCAAGUCGAACGAACUCUUCGGAGUUAGUGGCGCACGGGUGCGUAACGCGUGGGAAUCUGCCCUUGGGUUCGGAAUAACAGUUGGAAACGACUGCUAAUACCGGAUGAUGACGAAAGUCCAAAGAUUUAUCGCCCAGGGAUGAGCCCGCGUAGGAUUAGCUAGUUGGUGAGGUAAAGGCUCACCAAGGCGACGAUCCAUAGCUGGUCUGAGAGGAUGAUCAGCCACAUUGGGACUGAGACACGGCCCAAACUCCUACGGGAGGCAGCAGUGGGGAAUAUUGGACAAUGGGCGCAAGGCCUGAUCCAGCCAUGCCGCGUGAGUGAUGAAGGCCCUAGGGUGUAAAGCUCUUUCACCGGUGAAGAUAAUGACGGUAACCGGAGAAGAAGCCCCGGACUAACUUCGUGCCAGCCAGCCGC